rnacentral:lncRNA from 1 species
GCUCAAAGGAGAGAGCUGCUUGCAAUCUUUCACCUGGUUUUGUUUUCCCCCAUGCACAGCAAUAAAAACCCCCGAUCUGCUUAUUCUCUACCUCUAGGCAAACGUCUUCAGUUACCUAUGGGAAGGGUCUCUUUAUUUCUUUUCCCCUGUCUGCUGCUCCUUCUCCUCCCUUCUGGCCAUCUCUUUGCCUUGGCUGCUUGAAUGUUUGCUCUCUCACUGUGCUGGCUCUCCACCUUUCCCCCCUGGGACAUUUCUUUUGGCUUGGUUUCCCUUUAGAGAAUCAUAACAUGUAGCUUCCGUUCCUGACUUUGCAGCUCCUGGUUACUCAGCUUCUGUGGUGCAGUGUCUAUCUGUGAAUGACCCUCCUCCCUUCUUCCCUGGCCUUUUCAACUCCCCUGUGUGAAUCACCCUGACUGAGGAGGGGGGGAGAAAGGAAGACCUUGGCAUUACUAACCCUUUAUGGAGAAUGUCACCAUUAUCCCAACCCAGUGGUGAGAGGAUGAAGAUCCAGUCAUCUGGCGAGUCAGGAUCCAAUCAGCUAAUACCUGUGGACUGAGGACAUGGAUCACCUCAGGUUGACUUGAGUCUCUGCUGGGCACUUCAAACUGUAUUUCCUAAAUAAAAGACUUCUAGGCUGAGUACUUAAUUAUAUGGGAAGAAUUGCUCUUUGUGAUCAGAGAUGUUGUCUCUGAGGAUCAAAUUUACCAAGCAGGCCAGAGCCCCACCCUCCAGGAUGCUCAGGACUUCCACGGGGCCAAGAGAACGGAUACACUAUGCAGGAGGUGGUCACUCCCUGGAAAUGGUCCCUGGCUCCCGGCUUGGCGACUUCUCCGCUUCCAGCCGCUUCUUCCAGGAGGAGCAAGCACCGGUGACCAUCAGUGUCUCCUCCGGGAAUAACUAUCAUUGUCCUCUCUGGGAAUACCUGGAUCACAAAGCUCAUGACAUCAGCAUUCGGGACUGCUCGCCCACCUGAAACUGUGAGUCUCCCUGGGCAAGUGUCAAUGUGCAAGGCUGCUCCAAAGUACUUUUCAUUUUGCUUCCCCGGCAACUUCUCAUCCAUAGAUGUGACUCACCUAUUCAUGGGUCUUGGCAUCUCCAAUGGGCAGCCAGGGCAAACUGAUGAAGUCACAUGCUCCUGAAAAGCAACCUCUCCAACGAAGACAUGGGAGAAGACAGAGUUAACAUGCAGAGAGAGGAAUCGAGAGUUGGGGGAAAAAGUAAACCGUAGUUUGCUGUUAGUAAUUUAUAAUGAUGGGGCUGUUUUCACUCUGGUACCUAAUAAAUAAC